rnacentral:lncRNA from 14 species
GUGCUGUGAUGCUGCCAGCCACUGCCCUCCCUGCUGCACAAGUGUGCCUCUGCAGUCCUUCCUUCUCCACCCCUCACCAGCCCCAGACAUGAGGCCGGGGACACAGAGGGGUGAGACAUGCAGGCUGUUUGCCUCUAAGGAGCUUUUGUGCCUCAUUCGCCUGCUGCAGGGGUCUGGAGGAUCAGCACAAGUCUUGAAAUGCUUCAUAAGAAUUUCCACACUGAAAGGGAGCAGUGGAAGGUAUUUUUAGAAGAAAGCAGGUGCUCCACAGUGCUUUGUGCUUAUUGGUUGGGAUUUUCUGGUUGAAUUGGAUCAAACCCAAGUCAAUGGUAAAAAGAAUGGCA